ensembl:snRNA U6 U6 spliceosomal RNA
GCACUCGCUUCAGCAGUACAAUACUAAAUUGGAAUAAUACAGAAAAGAUUAGCAUGGCACCUGCGCAAGAAUGAUACACAAAUUCGUGAAGUGCUCCAUAUUGUU